ACCCCAGGGCCCCAGGCCCAACAUUAGGAAAACUAACCCCUGUGCCCUGAAGCUGCAAGAUGUUCCCUUACCCAACCCCCAUGUCAAAACCCCACCAGCUGCACGUAGCACUUCAAGUCUCGCACAAUGUUACCACAAGAUGUUCCAUAUAGAUAACCCCGGAAGGGCCAAACUUGAGCAAACAGGGUAAAAACAGGAACUAAAAGGACAGGAUGCAAUUUUAUGGUUUUUCUGAGAACUAAAGUGGGAAAACAAGUUUACCCCCCUAGGUGACUCAACUGCUGAAUUCAGAGGGACCAAUAGGAAGGCUGUUGCUGUGCUAAGCUAAGACCUAACCCACCUGUUCCCUAUAAAAGAUCUAUACCCCAAAGCCCGGUGUGCCAGUUCACCGAAGCUCCGGCUGAGGUUUUGCUGUGCACCCGCAGGCGCCUGUGUGAGAAUAAACGCCUCCUGCUUUUUGCAGCCAGUGUCUCGUGUGGUUCAUUCCGGGUUUGGGAUCUGUGGAUAUUUCAUUGUGGAGGUUCCACCGAGAUCCAAGAUCCCGGUUCCGGUUCCGAUCCCGGUCCCUAUCCGGAGGACACCCGACAUCACUGGGAGACUCAUUUGCAUGCUUUGCAAUUGGUCCAGAACGAGGUCUGGAAGCCUCUAGCCGCAGCAUACAAAGAGGAACUUAAAACCCCCUUGCUGCCACAUCCCUUCAAGGUCGGAGAUACCGUCUGGGUACGCAGGCACCAGAGCAGGAACCUCGAACCGUGGUGGAAAGGACCCUACACUAUCCUGCUGACCACUCCUACUGCACUCAAAGUGGACGGCAUCGCUGCUUAGAUCCAUGCUUCCCACGUAAAGACUGCACAUCCACAGGAGUCCGCAGACACCUCUCCGGAUCCAGAAUGGAAGUUGCAACGUACCCAAAAUCCGCUAAAGAUAAGACUCACUCGCUGUUAAUUUUUCUUGCUUUGUGCUGUGUCUUCCCCAUAUCAGUUAACCCCAACCAAUCUGUGAGCCAGACAUGACAAGUAUUAUCGGGGACAAGAAAUAUAAUUUAAAAAAAAAAAAAACAAAACAGGAUCCCCCACUUUCUGCCGACUCUUGCAGGAGCCUAAAAUGGUACGGGGCAGGGCCAUGUACCGCAUUUGCCUGCAACCCCUUAAACAUUACCUUUACUCAGGCAGGCAAAGCAUCAAAAGAUUGGGUAAAAAAAAAAAAAAACAAUGGGGCCUAAAAAUAUAUCAUAAAACUGCCUAUGACCCUGGGGUCCUAUUCAAAAUUAGAUUAAUAGUAAAUACCAACCCCCAACCAGUAUGCUGAGCCGUCAGCUGAAAUAAUGCUGGAAUCCGAGCAGAUGGGUCAAUGGAUAUAAGAUUAUAUCCAUGAUAUAAAAAAAGGGGGGAAUGAAGGACCCCAGGGCCCCAGGCCCAACAUUAGGAAAACUAACCCCUGUGCCCUGAAGCUGCAAGAUGUUCCCUUACCCAACCCCCAUGUCAAAACCCCACCAGCUGCACGUAGCACUUCAAGUCUCGCACAAUGUUACCACAAGAUGUUCCAUAUAGAUAACCCCGGAAGGGCCAAACUUGAGCAAACAGGGUAAAAACAGGAACUAAAAGGACAGGAUGCAAUUUUAUGGUUUUUCUGAGAACUAAAGUGGGAAAACAAGUUUACCCCCCUAGGUGACUCAACUGCUGAAUUCAGAGGGACCAAUAGGAAGGCUGUUGCUGUGCUAAGCUAAGACCUAACCCACCUGUUCCCUAUAAAAGAUCUAUACCCCAAAGCCCGGUGUGCCAGUUCACCGAAGCUCCGGCUGAGGUUUUGCUGUGCACCCGCAGGCGCCUGUGUGAGAAUAAACGCCUCCUGCUUUUUGCA